UUUGUACAGCACCUCCCUACUUUAUCUUAUUUAAUGAGCGAGAUAAGUGAAGAGCAAAGUUCAGUCCGCCUGACGGACUGAGGGUGUUGUAGGCCUCCCUCCUCCCCUCAGCCUGGACUUGUCAGAGGUCGAGUCCUUCUACUUACAAUACCUUCAUGUCUAGCAGGUAGAAACUGACACUUACAGAACUCCAUGAGCGACUUGCUCUCCCAGUUGUCGUUCCUGCCUCGGUACUGGGCCCACAUGCUGGCGUAGUGAGACUUGGCGUCCUCGUCCUCGACCCAUCCCGAGGUGGCGGCGAUGGCGAUUAUGUCAAAAAUAAUGGCGAAGAGCAGCAGCAGGGGCAAGAUCCACCUGCAUCGGGGGUAGGCGAUCCCACAGCGAAACAUGACCGACGAUCGGAGUGCGUGGAGCGGGACGGAGAGAGAACAGGCGAGCUGUGGGGGAGCGAGGUGUAGUCCGUCCGGUUAUAUAGAGUCUGGUGCGUCUUCGCGCAAAGGACACAGUCAGAAGGUGUGGUGUGGAUUCCAGCUGGAAAACUCCACCCUUGUGUGUAAUGCAACCUGUUUGGGACCUGAAGGGAUGGGCUUGUCUGACUGUUUUAAGCCGAAUCAGGCCCAACCCCACUCGCUGUGUCAUAUUACACCCACGAGCUGUUGAAGCGCCUGUUGCCACUUUAGUCCUCACUUCCAGCGAUGAACAGCAAAGUUGGUCAUUUUUCGAUUUUGGAAUAACAGCAGGUAGCUGUGGACUGAGCUGUGAGUGGGAGGAGUGUGAGAGGCAAGGUAGAAAAGGAGAUAAAUGAGACAGAUGGUGAGGCGAUGCAGUACUUAAAGUAACCACAAGGUGGCAGCCGUAGGGAAAGUAUAAUUAAAGAGGAGAAAAAACACGUAAUUAUUGCAUUUCUCCGGCAUUGUUCAUUGUUCACGCCCUUUGAAAUAAAGCCCAUGCUUAUUUUAGUAAUGGAUUAGUAAUGGAUUUAAUACUGUCAGUGGUGGAAGAAAUGCCACCCUGUGAAAAUGCUUUGUUCAAAGUAAAGUUCAUGCAUUGAAGGUGUUACUUUAAAGUAAAAGUAUGUGAAAGUUAAUUAAAAGUGCUCAAUGCGGCAACAUUUCUCCUGUGAUUGUUAUACGUGAUGUCAUUAGAUUAUUAUUACUCAUGCAUUAAUGUAAAAGUGUUUUUACUGCUGGUCGAGCACAUUUUGAACUAUUUUGUAUAUGACCACAACUAAUGAUCCUGAACUCAGGAUAUUUAUGACAGCAACCAACAGUCUAAACAUCAAAAUUAUUUAAGAUAAAAUAAAAUCAUUAAAAG